rnacentral:rRNA from 1 species
GACGAACGCUGGCGGCGCGCCUAACACAUGCAAGUCGAACGAGCGAGAGGAAGCUUGCUUUCUCGAGCGAGUGGCGAACGGGUGAGUAACGCGUGAGGAACCUGCCUCAAAGAGGGGAACAACAGUUGGAAACGACUGCUAAUACCGCAUAAGCCCACGGGUCGGCAUCGACCAGAGGGAAAAGGAGCAAUCCGCUUUGAGAUGGCCUCGCGUCCGAUUAGCUGGUUGGUGAGGUAACGGCCCACCAAGGCGACGAUCGGUAGCCGGACUGAGAGGUUGGGCGGCCACAUUGGGGCUGAGACACGGCCCAGACUCCUACGGGAGGCAGCAGUGGGGAAUAUCGCACAAUGGGGGAAACCCUGAUGCAGCGACGCCGCGUGGAGGAAGAAGGUCUUCGGAUUGUAAGCUCCUGUUGUUGAGGAAGAUAAUGACGGUACUCAACAAGGAAGUGACGGCUAACUACGUGCCAGCCGCCGCCGUAA